rnacentral:rRNA from 1 species
GGUUAAGCGACUAAGCGUACACGGUGGAUGCCCUGGCAGUCAGAGGCGAUGAAGGACGUGCUAAUCUGCGAUAAGCGUCGGUAAGGUGAUAUGAACCGUUAUAACCGGCGAUUUCCGAAUGGGGAAACCCAGUGUGAUUCGUCACACUAUCAUUAACUGAAUCCAUAGGUUAAUGAGGCGAACCGGGGGAACUGAAACAUCUAAGUACCCCGAGGAAAAGAAAUCAACCGAGAUUCCCCCAGUAGCGGCGAGCGAACGGGGAGCAGCCCAGAGCCUGAAUCAGUGUGUGUGUUAGUGGAAGCGUCUGGAAAGGCGCGCGAUACAGGGUGACAGCCCCGUACACAAAAAUGCACAUGCUGUGAGCUCGAUGAGUAGGGCGGGACACGUGGUAUCCUGUCUGAAUAUGGGGGGACCAUCCUCCAAGGCUAAAUACUCCUGACUGACCGAUAGUGAACCAGUACCGUGAGGGAAAGGCGAAAAGAACCCCGGCGAGGGGAGUGAAAAAGAACCUGAAACCGUGUACGUACAAGCAGUGGGAGCACGCUUAGGCGUGUGACUGCGUACCUUUUGUAUAAUGGGUCAGCGACUUAUAUUCUGUAGCAAGGUUAACCGAAUAGGGGAGCCGAAGGGAAACCGAGUCUUAACUGGGCGUUAAGUUGCAGGGUAUAGACCCGAAACCCGGUGAUCUAGCCAUGGGCAGGUUGAAGGUUGGGUAACACUAACUGGAGGACCGAACCGACUAAUGUUGAAAAAUUAGCGGAUGACUUGUGGCUGGGGGUGAAAGGCCAAUCAAACCGGGAGAUAGCUGGUUCUCCCCGAAAGCUAUUUAGGUAGCGCCUCGUGAAUUCAUCUCCGGGGGUAGAGCACUGUUUCGGCAAGGGGGUCAUCCCGACUUACCAACCCGAUGCAAACUACGAAUACCGGAGAAUGUUAUCACGGGAGACACACGGCGGGUGCUAACGUCCGUCGUGAAGAGGGAAACAACCCAGACCGCCAGCUAAGGUCCCAAAGUCAUGGUUAAGUGGGAAACGAUGUGGGAAGGCCCAGACAGCCAGGAUGUUGGCUUAGAAGCAGCCAUCAUUUAAAGAAAGCGUAAUAGCUCACUGGUCGAGUCGGCCUGCGCGGAAGAUGUAACGGGGCUAAACCAUGCACCGAAGCUGCGGCAGCGACGCUGAUGCGUUGUUGGGUAGGGGAGCGUUCUGUAAGCCUGCGAAGGUGUGCUGUGAGG